CACGAAUUUGAUUGCUCCGAAAAAUAGAAACUCAUAGCAUGCAUGUAUAUCUCGUAUGAUAAUACUAUAAUUUAGAUGCAAAAUAGCUACAAAAACGGUUCCAAUUUUUAUAAACCAGAUAUUUCAAUAAUACAUAUCUCUUCAAUAAUACUCAUAGCAAAAAACAUUCAAACAAUACCAAAAAAAAAACCCACCCACCAACUAAGAGCUUACAAAUAGGAGGACAAAGAAGAACAGCAAAAAGAAACAAAAAAAAACAACCCACAAAUGAUGCGAAAGUCAGAGCUAUGCAUAAGGAAGAUGUAAUGUGAAUAUGAAAAACGAAACAAAAAUCGUUUCUUUAUUCGUUUAAGAAUAAUAGACACACCACAUACAUAAAAACAAAAUGUCUAUAAUAGAGGUAAAAC
rnacentral:lncRNA from 1 species